rnacentral:lncRNA from 1 species
GGCGCAGAUACUAGUUUGAUUUGAGCAAGGCAUUGCGCCAUCACUGGUUUAGACCGGUCACGUGGCGGGCCAUAGCCUGGUGCACCAGACUAUAGGUCCAAUGCAGCUAAUAUGAAAUCAUUUCUGGGUAACAAUUAAGUACCUUACUGUGAUUGUUUUUAAUUAAAACGGUCAAAAAGAAACAAACAAUUUCUCAAGCAAUAAUCUUGCUAGGACUGUCUGGGAGUGGUCUGAGUGGGGAGGGGAAAAAUUUAAAUCAGGUUUGGAACUCUUUCUUAUUGAUCUAUUCAGGCAGGCUAAAACUCCGUCCCAACAAAACAGGCUGAAAUUUCAGGCGGCAUUUUCAAACAGCUCUUACAUUAAAAGGUAAUUAUUCACAAUUUCACAGUGUUAUUCCAACCUUUUAUAGUGUGGUAAUGUAUAGAAAACACAGGAAAAUCACAUUGCUGACUGCACUGGGCCUUCAAGAUUCAACUAAGCGGUUUGUAUUGUUGUUGUCCAUUUCAGUUCUACUGAUAGUAUCUACUGUUGGUUGGGUAGGUAGACAUGAUUGACAGGAGGCUCAAUUUGGAUCAGACAGUUCGAGCCUUUCUUAGUCUCGAAUCAGUUUGGAAAUCAGUGUCUCCUCUCUCUUACAUCUGUAAUGCAAUGUAGGCUGCGAUUCCAUUCCUCCAGUUACAGGCUUCUUCUCCGUUUCCCUUUAGGGGGAGACAUUGUGCCACAUAGUGAUAGUCCUGAGUGGGGGAGGGAUGGGGAGAGAGAAAGAGAACGAGAUGAGGAUGUGUGAAGAGCUUGUUUGUUUCCUAUCAUAGUGGACACAAGCAGGUUGGUGUAAUGUGAGGAUAAAUCGGCCACUGCUAGGGGAGAGGUUUCACACUCGCCUCCCCAGGGACGAGGGGAGUUUGAUGAGGAUCUGAUGGGGGAAUUUGGGUCAGAAAGAAGAGAGAGGGAGGGAAAAGGGGAGGAGAAGAGAUGGAGAGCAAGCAGAGCGGAUGACCUAGACAGGAUCAAUAUGUCAGAGGGAAGAAAUCACAGGGUGAAACGUGAAGGUAUUAAAGCAGCCAAAUGAACAGUCAGUUAUGGGAAAAUGGGGGUUUGGGGGUCCAUGAUUUUUGGAAGGUCAUGCUUCAUGGUCAUACAUUUCUCUCUCACACUCAGACUUUUUGAACAGGGACACAGAUGACUUAAACAGGUAGGUGGGUCACUUUCAAUGCUUCAGGUAUUUUAAAACCUCAUUCUGACGCAUAGAAACACAGACCCAUUCACCCUCAAUCACUCACCUCCUACACAGAC